rnacentral:rRNA from 1 species
AAUCAACGCUGGCGGCGUGCCUCAGACGUGCAAGUCGAACGAUUAAAGCUCUCUUCGGAGAGUGUAUAGAGUGGCGCACGGGUGAGUAACACGUAAGUAAUCUGCCUUUGAGUGGGGAAUAACCCGGGGAAACCCGAGCUAAUACCGCAUAAUGCAGCGGCACCGCAAGGUGACAGUUGUUAAAGCGAGUAAUCGCGCUUAAAGAGGAGCUUGCGGCAGGAUUAGCUAGUUGGUAAGGUAACGGCUUACCAAGGCUACGAUCUGUAUCCGGUCUAAGAGGACGGUCGGACACACUGACACUGAAUAACGGGUCAGACUCCUACGGGAGGCAGCAGUCGGGAA